UUGCUUUGGUAGCAAACAUACUAAAACUGUACUGAUGGAGAUUAGCAUGACCCCUGAGCAAGGAUGGCACACAAAUCUGUGAAAUGUUCCCUAUUUUU
ensembl:snRNA U6 U6 spliceosomal RNA